GAUGAACGCUGGCGGCGUGCCUAAUACAUGCAAGUCGAGCGAACAGACGAGGAGCUUGCUCCUCUGACGUUAGCGGCGGACGGGUGAGUAACACGUGGAUAACCUACCUAUAAGACUGGGAUAACUUCGGGAAACCGGAGCUAAUACCGGUAAAUAAUUUAAACGGCAGGGUUCAUUAGUAAAAGAGGGUUUUCUUUUCAUUAUUAGUGGGUCCCGGGCCGCAUUAGCUAGUUGGUAAGGUAACGGCUUACCAAGGCAACGAUGCGUAGCCGACCUGAGAGGGUGAUCGGCCACACUGGAACUGAGACACGGUCCAGACUCCUACGGGAGGCAGCAGUAGGGAAUCUUCCGCAAUGGGCGAAAGCCUGACGGAGCAACGCCGCGUGAGUGAUGAAGGUCUUCGGAUCGUAAAACUCUGUUAUUAGGGAAGAACAAAUGUGUAAGUAACUAUGCACGUCUUGACGGUACCUAAUCAGAAAGCCACGGCUAACUACGUG
rnacentral:rRNA from 1 species